rnacentral:rRNA from 1 species
GACUCUCAGCAACGGAUAUCUCGGCUCUUGCAUCGAUGAAGAACGUAGCGUGUAACGCCCCGUACCCGAGACCGUCGCCGGAGUCGAACACGAGGUGUUAACAGACUUAAUUCAUUACUU